rnacentral:misc_RNA from 1 species
CCAAUAGCGUAUAUUAAAGUUGCUGCAGUUAAAAAGCUCGUAGUUGAAUUUCGGGACUAAUAUGUCGGUCGUGCCUCGGUACGUACUGGUAUUUUUGGUUUCUCCCUUCUGACGAACCUUGAUGUCAUUAAUUUGGUGUCUUGGGAAAUCAGGACUGUUACUUUGAAAAAAUUAGAGUGUUUAAAGCAGGCUCACGCUUGAAUACAUUAGCAUGGAAUAAUGAAAUAGGACGUUUGAUUCUAUUUUGUUGGUUUCUAGGAUCGACGUAAUGAUUAAUAGGGAUAGUUGGGGGCAUUAGUAGUGAAUAGUCAGAGGUGAAAUUCUUGGAUUUAUUGAAGACUAACUACUGCGAAAGCAUUUGCCAAGGAUGUUUUCAUUAAUCAAGAACGAAAGUUAGGGGAUCGAAGACGAUCAGAUACCGUCGUAGUCUUAACCAUAAACUAUGCCGACUAGGGAUCGGAUGAUGUUAAUUUUUUAAUGACUCAUUCGGCGCCUUACG